UGGGGAAUUUUGGACAAUGGACGCAAGUCUGAUCCAGCCAUGCCGCGUGCGGGAAGAAGGCCUUCGGGUUGUAAACUGCUUUUGUACGGGACGAAAAGGCUCUGGUUAAUACCUGGGGCUCAUGACGGUACCGUAAGAAUAAGCACCGGCUAACUACGUGCCAGCAGCCGCGGUAAUACGUAGGGUGCAAGCGUUAAUCGGAAUUACUGGGCGUAAAGCGUGCGCAGGCGGUUAUGUAAGACAGAUGUGAAAUCCCCGGGCUCAACCUGGGAACUGCAUUUGGGACUGCAUGGCUAGAGUACGGUAGAGGGGGAUGGAAUUCCGCGUGUAGCAGUGAAAUGCGUAGAUAUGCGGAGGAACACCGAUGGCGAAGGCAAUCCCCUGGACCUGUACUGACGCUCAUGCACGAAAGCGUGGGGAGCAAACA
rnacentral:rRNA from 1 species